GACGAACGCUGGCGGCGUGCCUAAUACAUGCAAGUUGAGCGAUGAAGAUUGGUGCUUGCCCCAAUUUGAAGAGCAGCGAACGGGUGAGUAACGCGUGGGGAAUCUGCCUUUGAGCGGGGGACAACAUUUGGAAACGAAUGCUAAUACCGCAUAAUAACUUUAAACAUAAGUUUUAAGUUUGAAAGAUGCAAUUGCAUCACUCAAAGAUGAUCCCGCGUUGUAUUAGCUAGUUGGUGAGGUAAAGGCUCACCAAGGCGAUGAUACAUAGCCGACCUGAGAGGGUGAUCGGCUACAUUGGGACUGAGACACGGCCCAAACUCCUACGGGAGGCAGCAGUAGGGAAUCUUCGGCAAUGGACGAAAGUCUGACCGAGCAACGCCGCGUGAGUGAAGAAGGUUUUCGGAUCGUAAAACUCUGUUGGUAGAGAAGAACGUUGGUGAGAGUGGAAAGCUCAUCAAGUGACGGUAACUACCCAGAAAGGGACGGCUAACUACGUG
rnacentral:rRNA from 1 species